rnacentral:rRNA from 1 species
GACGAACGCUGGCGGCGUGCCUAAUACAUGCAAGUAGAACGCUGAAGAGAGGAGCUUGCUCUUCUUGGAUGAGUUGCGAACGGGUGAGUAACGCGUAGGUAACCUGCCUUGUAGCGGGGGAUAACUAUUGGAAACGAUAGCUAAUACCGCAUAACAAUGGAUGACACAUGUCAUUUAUUUGAAAGGGGCAAUUGUUCCACUACAAGAUGGACCUGCGUUGUAUUAGCUAGUAGGUGAGGUAAUGGCUCACCUAGGCGACGAUACAUAGCCGACCUGGGAGGGUGAUCGGCCACACUGGGACUGAGACACGACCCAGACUCCUACGGGAGGCAGCAGUAGGGAAUCUUCGGCAAUGGGGGCAACCCUGACCGAGCAACGCCGCGUGAGUGAAGAAGGUUUUCGGAUCGUAAAGCUCUGUUGUAAGUCAAGAACGGGUGUGAGAGUGGAAAGUUCACACUGUGACGGUAGCUUACCAGAAAGGGACGGCUAACUACGUG